UCACACCAACCAAUGGCUGCUAUUGCUUUGGACAAGAGCGUGCCGGAGAAAUUACCUCCGGUGCUGGAUCCUACUGCAGAGCAACCUCCACUCUUCGAUGGAACCAUAAGGUUUUAUUUUUUUAUUAAAAUAAUCUGCCUUUGCUGCUAAUCUCAAUUUUUUAUUCUUUAUAAGUCACAUGGAAAUAGGGAUUUGUUUUUGGCUGUAUUUACUGCUUUUCCCCCCUCUACACGUGAAGGUUGUAUGUCGCCUACAUAUGUCCAU
rnacentral:misc_RNA from 1 species